rnacentral:rRNA from 1 species
AAGACCCUUACUUUUCGGUUUUGGAGUUUAGAUCAGUAUUAGGUAAAUGGUUUGAAAAAUACAUCGGCAGACUACAAUUAAAGCAGCCCACCUUCGUUCAGCCCUCCCGAAAGGAGAGCACAGAAACAUGACUUCAACUGUUCACGUAGAAAGUUUUUUAUUGUUUUUGUAACGAAUCUCCUUGUAGUGGGGAACCUGCGGAAGGAUCAUU